GACGAACGCUGGCGGCGUGCAUUACACAUGCAAGUCGAACGGUGAAGGUGGAGCUUGCUCCGCCGGAUCAGUGGCGAACGGGUGAGUAACACGUGGGCAACCUGCCCCUAACUUUGGGAUAACUACUCGAAAGAGUAGCUAAUACCGGAUAUGAAGUCUGUAGGCAUCUACGGACUUGGAAAGUUUUUCGGUUAGGGAUGGGCCCGCGGCCUAUCAGCUUGUUGGUGAGGUAGUGGCUCACCAAGGCGACGACGGGUAGCCGGCCUGAGAGGGCGCCCGGCCACACUGAGACUGAGACACGGCCCAGGCUCCUACGGGAGGCAGCAGUAGGGAAUCUUCGGCAAUGGACGAAAGUCUGACCGAGCAACGCCGCGUGAGCGAAGAAGGCCUUCGGGUUGUAAAGCUCUGUCAUGAGGGAAGAACGGCUCGGGUGGCCCCGAGUAUGACGGUACCUCAGGAGGAAGCCCCGGCUAACUACGUGCCAGCCGCCGCGGUAA
rnacentral:rRNA from 1 species